rnacentral:miRNA from 1 species
ACACUCACCGCUUUUUAGAGC